rnacentral:misc_RNA from 1 species
GUCGUAAUCCAAAAACGCACAGCAAGUGCGUGUGCGAGUUGUGAGAUCAACGAGCGAGCCCAUGCCGUUGUUCUCGCAUUGUGUGAAAGGCGCCUGGCGCAGUUGCUCGGGAAGUGCCGGCGUGGACCUAAGAUUAUUGUUUUCUGUCCACGUCUUACCCAGCGUAACUAGGGCACGACCUGCACUCGCUUAAGGUAGCAAAUGCCUCGUCCACUAAUUAGCGAUGCCUUCGCGGUGGACGAGCCCACAUACCUAACACA